CUGUGUGUUGUUGGGUAGGGGAGCGUUCUGUAAGCCUGCGAAGGUGGCCUGUGAGGGUUGCUGGAGGUAUCAGAAGUGCGAAUGCUGACAUAAGUAACGAUAAAGCGGGUGAAAAGCCCGCUCGCCGGAAGACCAAGGGUUCCUGUCCAACGUUAAUCGGGGCAGGGUGAGUCGACCCCUAAGGCGAGGCCGAAAGGCGUAGUCGAUGGGAAACGGGUUAAUAUUCCCGUACUUGGUGUUACUGCGAAGGGGGGACGGAGAAGGCUAUGUUGGCCGGGCGACGGUUGUCCCGGUUUAAGCGUGUAGGUGUGUGUUCCAGGUAAAUCCGGUUCACUUUAACACUGAGGCGUGACGACGAGGCACUACGGUGCUGAAGCAACAAAUGCCCUGCUUCCAGGAAAAGCCUCUAAGCAUCAGGUAACAUCAAAUCGUACCCCAAACCGACACAGGUGGUCAGGUAGAGAAUACCAAGGCGCUUGAGAGAACUCGGGUGAAGGAACUAGGCAAAAUGGUGCCGUAACUUCGGGAGAAGGCACGCUGACACGUAGGUGAAGUGAUUUACUCAUGGAGCUGAAGUCAGUCGAAGAUACCAGCUGGCUGCAACUGUUUAUUAAAAACACAGCACUGUGCAAACACGAAAGUGGACGUAUACGGUGUGACGCCUGCCCGGUGCCGGAAGGUUAAUUGAUGGGGUCAGCGCAAGCGAAGCUCCUGAUCGAAGCCCCGGUAAACGGCGGCCGUAACUAUAACGGUCCUAAGGUAGCGAAAUUCCUUGUCGGGUAAGUUCCGACCUGCACGAAUGGCGUAAUGAUGGCCAGGCUGUCUCCACCCGAGACUCAGUGAAAUUGAACUCGCUGUGAAGAUGCAGUGUACCCGCGGCAAGACGGAAAGACCCCGUGAACCUUUACUAUAGCUUGACACUGAACAUUGAGCCUUGAUGUGUAGGAUAGGUGGGAGGCUUUGAAGUGUGGACGCCAGUCUGCAUGGAGCCGACCUUGAAAUACCACCCUUUAAUGUUUGAUGUUCUAACGUGGACCCGUUACCCGGGUUGCGGACAGUGUCUGGUGGGUAGUUUGACUGGGGCGGUCUCCUCCUAAAGAGUAACGGAGGAGCACGAAGGUUGGCUAAUCCUGGUCGGACAUCAGGAGGUUAGUGCAAUGGCAUAAGCCAGCUUGACUGCGAGCGUGACGGCGCGAGCAGGUGCGAAAGCAGGUCAUAGUGAUCCGGUGGUUCUGAAUGGAAGGGCCAUCGCUCAACGGAUAAAAGGUACUCCGGGGAUAACAGGCUGAUACCGCCCAAGAGUUCAUAUCGACGGCGGUGUUUGGCACCUCGAUGUCGGCUCAUCACAUCCUGGGGCUGAAGUAGGUCCCAAGGGUAUGGCUGUUCGCCAUUUAAAGUGGUACGCGAGCUGGGUUUAGAACGUCGUGAGACAGUUCGGUCCCUAUCUGCCGUGGGCGCUGGAGAACUGAGGGGGGCUGCUCCUAGUACGAGAGGACCGGAGUGGACGCAUCACUGGUGUUCGGGUUGUCAUGCCAAUGGCACUGCCCGGUAGCUAAAUGCGGAAGAGAUAAGUGCUGAAAGCAUCUAAGCACGAAACUUGCCCCGAGAUGAGUUCUCCCUGAG
rnacentral:rRNA from 1 species